rnacentral:rRNA from 1 species
UAUUGGACAAUGGGCGAAAGCCUGAUCCAGCCACGCCGCGUGAGUGAUGAAGGCCUUCGGGUCGUAAAGCUCUGUGGGGAGGGACGAACCGCUGGAUGUGAAUAGCUUCCAGCAUGACGGUACCUCCUUAGCAAGCACCGGCUAACUUCGUGCCAGCAGCCGCGGUAAUACGAAGGGUGCAAACGUUGCUCGGAAUUAUUGGGCGUAAAGCGCACGUAGGCGGCAUUGCAAGUCGGAUGUGAAAGCCCUCGGCUUAACCAAGGAAGUGCAUCCGAAACUGCAGUGCUUGAGUUCUUAAGAGGAUCGCGGAAUUCCCUGUGUAGAGGUGAAAUUCGUAGAUAUCGGGAGGAACACCAGUGGCGAAGGCGGCGAUCUGGGAAGAUACUGACGCUGAGGUGCGAAAGCGUGGGGAGCAAACAGG